rnacentral:misc_RNA from 1 species
UGGCAAGUGAGGAUGCCCUUAGAUGAUGUUCAUAAGACUGCCUUUAGAACUCAUGAGGGGCAUUAUAAGUUCUUAGUCAUGCCAUUUGGUUUGACUAAUGCUCCAACAACUUUUCAGUCUUUAAUGAACUCAAUUUUUAAGCCAUUUCUUAGAAAAUUUAUUUUAGUUUUCUUUGAUGACAUAUUGAUAUAUGGUCAGUCAGUUGAAGAACAUUUACAGCACUUGCAACUUGUCUUGCAAACCAUGAGAGAUCAUCAAUUGUAUGCCAAACUUAGCAAAUGUCAA